AUGUGUUCAAAUUGAUAGCAUGCCCAAUAACCAGAGGGAUCAUCAUGUAGAACAUCAAGGAGAUGUCAAAAACAUCAAAAAUAAUACACUUCGCAAUAAAAGAACCUCAUACAAAUCAUCAUAGAGAUCCGACUAAUACGAACAACAUACUUAAUAGAUAAAAGAACAAAUCAUUAUGGAGUUCGGAUAUCAUUCUUGACCAUAUGUAUG
rnacentral:lncRNA from 1 species